rnacentral:rRNA from 1 species
CAGUCGCCGCGGUAACACGAAGGGUGCAAGCGUUAAUCGGAGUUACUGGGCGUAAAGCGUGCGUAGGCGGUGAGUUAAGUCUGCUGUGAAAUCCCCGGGCUCAACCUGGGAAUGGCAGUGGAUACUGGCUCGCUAGAGUGUGUCAGAGGAUGGUGGAAUUCCCGGUGUAGCGGUGAAAUGCGUAGAGAUCGGGAGGAACAUCAGUGGCGAAGGCGGCCAUCUGGGACAACACUGACGCUGAGGCACGAAAGCGUGGGGAGCAAACAGGAUUAGAUACCCCGGUAGUCCCUGUCUCUUAUAC